rnacentral:rRNA from 1 species
UACAGAGGGUGCGAGCGUUGUUCGGAAUUACUGGGCGUAAAGCGCGCGCAGGCGGCCCUUUAAGUCCAUCGGUCAAAUGCCGGAGCUCAACUCCGUGCGUGCCGAGGAUACUGGAGGGCUGGAGACACGUAGAGGCAAGCGGAAUUCCGGGUGUAGCGGUGGAAUGCGUAGAGAUCCGGAAGAACACCGGAGGCGAAGGCGGCUUGCUGGGCGUGAUCUGACACUGAGGCGCGAAAGCGUGGGGAGCGAACAGG